GUCUAUAUCCAUGCCACCCUAAACAAGCCCGCUGUCUGAUCUUAGAAGCUAAGCAGGGUCGAGCCUGGUUAGUACUUGGAUGGGAGACCAACUAGGAAGACCAGAUGCUGUAGGCA
rnacentral:rRNA from 1 species